rnacentral:rRNA from 1 species
UACGUAGGGGGCUAGCGUUGCUCGGAAUUACUGGGCGUAAAGCGUACGUAGGCGGCUUUUUAAGUCUGAGGUGAAAUCCUGGAGCUCAACUCCAGAACUGCCUUUGAUACUGGAGAGCUUGAGUCCGGGAGAGGUGAGUGGAACUGCGAGUGUAGAGGUGAAAUUCGUAGAUAUUCGCAAGAACACCAGUGGCGAAGGCGGCUCACUGGCCCAGUACUGACGCUGAGGUGCGAAAGCGUGGGGAGCAAACAGG